UCACUUAUCGCUCAUAUGCUUAUCCUGAUCUACUCAAAAUCGUCAAACCCAUAUAUUACCCAUAAACGAACAUGCGAAGAAAGACAGGGACGGUAUCGACGACAGCGGAAGCAACAACUUAACUACUUUUCAGUUUUCAUGACGGCCGCCACGAUAGGUGUGGUUAUUUCCGUUACAGAAAGUUAAUUUUCACGCCAAAAUAUAUUUCAAAAUAUUUGGAAGGGUUAAACUUUUCAUGGUGAAAAUUCAUCAUAAAAAGUUAAUUUAAUCGGUAUGUAUCCUAUUCCUAUUUGGGGAAAAUUUCGAAAUCUUGUCCGAGAUUUCUUUCAUGAUGAAUUUUCGUCAUCGAUCUUGUGUCUGCAACCAAAAGUCAGUCAUACAAGUUCAUUUUUUAUUGUUUUCGGAUAAUUUUGACGAUGGUUAGCGUUUUUCGUGACGAUCUUUGAUGUUGACGAAAAUCCAUCACCAGUAGUCUUUGACGGAAAUCCGUCACCAAUAGUCUGUCAUAUAAAAGGUGAAUAUUUGUCACAAAUCCUAAAUUAAUUGUGCAAUUGAAUUCAUAAAAAGAGAUUAAUCAACUAACUAAUGUUUCAUAAACCCUAGAAAUGAUAUUACCAAAUCUAUGAACAUCAAGUGUAAUAUUUUGGUUUCCAAGAUAAAUAUUCUUUGUUUUAUCCCACCCUUUUCUAUUAAUCUUCUUUGGAUUGGAGAUAACAGAGUCUUGGGGACCGUACUUUUUAGACAAAGAGCUCUCACUCCGUUCGAUUUGAUACUCCACAUACUCUAAUCCCAACUUCCUCGCCGGUUGCCCGUA
rnacentral:lncRNA from 1 species